GACGAACGCUGGCGGCGUGCUUAACACAUGCAAGUCGAACGGAAAGGCCCUGCUUUUGUGGGGUGCUCGAGUGGCGAACGGGUGAGUAACACGCGAGUAACCUGCCCUUGACUUGGGAUAACUUCAGGAAACUGGGGCUAAUACCGGAUAGGAGCUCCUGCUGCAUGGUGGGGGUUGGAAAGUUUCGGCGGUUGGGGAUGGACUCGCGGCUUAUCAGCUUGUUGGUGGGGUAGUGGCUUACCAAGGCUUUGACGGGUAGCCGGCCUGAGAGGGUGACCGGCCACAUUGGGACUGAGAUACGGCCCAGACUCCUACGGGAGGCAGCAGUGGGGAAUAUUGCACAAUGGGCGGAAGCCUGAUGCAGCAACGCCGCGUGCGGGAUGACGGCCUUCGGGUUGUAAACCGCUUUCGCCUGUGACGAAGCGUGAGUGACGGUAAUGGGUAAAGAAGCACCGGCUAACUACGUG
rnacentral:rRNA from 1 species